CUUAUCAUGUGGGCAACCUGCUGCAACUGGUUCUGCUUGGAUGGACAGCCUGAGGAAGUCCCCCCACCUCAGGGCGCCAGGACGUAAGCCUAUUCCAACCCUGGGUACAGCUCCUUUCUUCCCCAGCAGGCUCUGAGCCAAGCUGCAAGGCCUGUGGGGCCCAUUUUGCAACCGCAGCCCGGAAGCCAAGAGCGGAAUGGGCCCCGCCUCUGCCUUCUCUGCCAACGGUUCCGAGCUACAGCCUUUCAGCGAGAGGAGCUCAUGAAGAUGAAGGUGAAGGACCUGAGGGACUAUCUCAGCCUCCAUGACAUCUCUACUGAAAUGUGCCGGGAGAAAGAAGAGCUGGUGUUCUUGGUGCUUGGCCAGCAGCCUGUAAUCUCUGAGGAGGACAGGACUCAUGCCCCCACCUUGUCCCCAGACUUCCCUGAGCAGCAGGCCUUCCUGACCCAGCCUCACACCAGCACAGUACCUCCUACCUCACCCAACUUCCCUCCUUCACCUGCACAACCCCCCCCAGCCCAGGCUCAGGAAAACCAGGCCAAUGGCCAUGUGUCUCAGGACCACGAGCAGCCCGUCUACCCGGAGAGCACAGCCAGAGCACCUGCUGAGGAUGAGACCCAGUCCAUGGACUCAGAGGAUGGCUUUGUCCCAGGCGGGAGGGCCUCCCUAUCUGACCUUACCCACUUGGAGGACAUUGAAGGCCUGACAGUGUGGCAGCUGAAAGAGAUCCUGGCUCGCAACUUUGUCAACUACAAGGGCUGCUGUGAGAAGUGGGAGCUGAUGGAGAGGGUGACGCGGCUGUACAAGGAUCAGAAAGGACUUCACCACCUGGUCUGUGGUGCUGAAGACAAAAACGGGGAAACAGUGCCAUCUGGCCUAGAGGAGAACCUAUGUAAGAUCUGCAUGGACUCACCCAUUGACUGUGUUCUGCUGGAAUGUGGCCACAUGGUGACCUGUAUCAAGUGUGGCAAACGCAUGAAUGAAUGUCCCAUCUGCCGGCAGUAUGUGAUCCGAGCGGUGCACGUCUUCCAUUCCUGA